rnacentral:rRNA from 1 species
AGCGAACGCUGGCGGCAGGCCUAAAACAUGCAAGUCGAACGGAUCCUUCGGGAUUAGUGGCGGACGGUGAGUAACACGUGGGAACGUGCCUUUUGGUUCGGAACAACUCAGGGAAACUUGAGCUAAUACCGAAUGUGCCCUUCGGGGGAAAGAUUUAUCGCCAUUAGAGCGGCCCGCGUCUGAUUAGCUUGUUGGUGAGGUAAAGGCUCACCAAGGCGACGAUCAGUAGCUGGUCUGAGAGGAUGAUCAGCCACACUGGGACUGAGACACGGCCCAGACUCCUACGGGAGGCAGCAGUUAGGAAUCUUGCGCAAUGGGGGAAACCCUGACGCAGCCAUGCCGCGUGAAUGAUGAAGGUCUUAGGAUUGUAAAAUUCUUUCAGCGGGGACGAUAAUGACGGUACCCGCAGAAGAAGCCCCGGCUAACUUCGUG